rnacentral:rRNA from 1 species
GACGAACGCUGGCGGCGUGCCUAAUACAUGCAAGUAGAACGAGUUGCGAACGGGUGAGUAACGCGUGGUAACCUGCCUCAUAGCGGGGGAUAACUAUUGGAAACGGUAGCUAAUACCGCAUACCAUCAGAUGUGCCCAUAUGGGAUUAGCUAGUAGGUGGGGUAAUGGCCCACCUAGGCGACGAUCCCUAGCCGGUUUGAGAGGAUGACCAGCCACACUGGAACUGAGACACGGUCCAGACGCCUACGGGAGGCAGCAGUGGGGAAUAUGGCACAAUGGGCGCAAGCCUGAUACAGCCAUGCCGCGUGUGUGAAGAAGGCCUUCGGGUUGUAAAGCACUUUCAGCGAGGAGGCGUUACUCGCAGAAGAAGCACCGGCUAACUCCGUGCCAGCAGCCGCGGUAAUUC